rnacentral:rRNA from 1 species
GAACCAGACUCCUACGGGAGGCAGCAGUGGGGAAUAUUGCACAAUGGGGGAAACCCUGAUGCAGCAACGCCGCGUGAGUGAGGAAGUAUUUCGGUAUGUAAAGCUCUAUCAGCAGGGAAUAGAAAAGAAGGUACCUGAAAAAGAAGCCCCGGCUAACUACGUGCCAGCAGCCGCGGUAAUACGUAGGGGGCAAGCGUUAUCCGGAUUUACUGGGUGUAAAGGGGGCGCAGACGGCAGCGCAAGCCAGGAGUGAAAGCCCGGGGCCCAACCCCGGGACUGCUCUUGGAACUGCGCGGCUGGAGUGCAGGAGGGGCAGGCGGAAUUCCUGGUGUAGCGGUGAAAUGCGUAGAUAUUAGGAGGAACACCAGUGGCGAAGGCGGCCUGCUGGGCUUUUACUGACGCUGAGGCUCGAAAGUGUGGGGAGCAAACAGGAUUAGAUACCCUCGUAU